AGAAGGGCAGGUCCAUCGCCCUAAUUUGCAGGUGAAUAGGAUCUGGGUUUGCUGCAGAGAGGGGUGAGCUGGAUUCUGCCAGGCUGCAGAAGGGCAGGUCCAUCGCCCUGAUUUGCAGGUGAAUAGGAUCUGGGUUUGCUGCAGAGAGUGGUGAGAUGGAUUCUGCCAGGCUGCAGAAGGGCAGGUCCAUUGCCCUGAUCCACAGGUGAGUCAGGUCUGGGUUUGCUGCAGUUGUAGCUUGGCUCAGGUCACCAUGUGCUGAAAUAUUUUGAGGGACGAUCAGCAGAGCCAAGGGUGUUAACACAAGCAUGGUUCCAGGCCCUGUCUGUGUUUCCGAACCGUUGCCUGGCAUUGUCUGGAGGCCUGGGAGGGGCUCCACUCAGGCUUCCACUCUGUCUCCUGUUUUCUGAGACUGGUUCUCUGCAAGUGGGUGAGACUCAGCAGGGCCCCCGGGAAUGCAUCCUGUCUCUCAGGCCCUGCUCCCAGCUUUAUCCCUCAGCGCUCAGUGAAGGGCUC
rnacentral:lncRNA from 1 species